rnacentral:rRNA from 1 species
GAUGAACGCUGGCGGCGUGCCUAAUACAUGCAAGUCGAGCGAAUGGAUUAAGAGCUUGCUCUUAUGAAGUUAGCGGCGGACGGGUGAGUAACACGUGGGUAACCUGCCCAUAAGACUGGGAUAACUCCGGGAGACCGGGGCUAAUACCGGAUAAUAUUUUGAACUGCAUGGUUCGAAAUUGAAAGGCGGCUUCGGCUGUCACUUAUGGAUGGACCCGCGUCGCAUUAGCUAGUUGGUGAGGUAACGGCUCACCAAGGCAACGAUGCGUAGCCGACCUGAGAGGGUGAUCGGCCACACUGGGACUGGGACACGGCCCAGACUCCUACGGGAGGCAGCAGUAGGGAAUCUUCCGCAAUGGACGAAAGUCUGACGGAGCAACGCCGCGUGAGUGAUGAAGGCUUUCGGGUCGUAAAACUCUGUUGUUAGGGAAGAACAAGUGCUAGUUGAAUAAGCUGGCACCUUGACGGUACCUAACCAGAAAGCCACGGCUAACUACGUGCCAGCCGCCGCAGUAA